rnacentral:pre_miRNA from 1 species
GGUAUGGUGUAGUUUGGACAGUAGCGAUGUUUGUUAUAGGCUACUUGGUGUGGUGUAGUUUGGACAGUAUAACAACAUCGCUACAGUCCAAACUACGCCAUACC